UCCGUGUUCACCACGGCAGUCUCCCUAGAGAGCCCAACUGAAUGCUGGCAACUAAGGACAAGGGUUGCGCUCGUUGCGGGACUUAACCCAACAUGUCACCACACGAGCUGACGACAGCCAUGCAGCACCUGUCUCUCUGUCCCCUUGCGGGGAAGACCGUAUCUCUACGGCUGUCAGAGGAUGUCAAAUCCAGGUAAGGUUCUUCGCGUUGCUUCGAAUUAAACCACAUGAUCCACCGCUUGUGCGGGCCCCCGUCAAUUCCUUUGAGUUUUAGUCUUGCGACCGUACUUCCCAGGCGGGGUACUUAGUGCGUUAGCGCCGAUUCGGCGGGGGUCAAGACCCACCAAAUCUAGUACCCAUCGUUUACAGCGUGGACCAC
rnacentral:misc_RNA from 1 species